GAAUAACCAUUUAUUUUUCCCCAAAGAUUUCUGAGAUACCCAGAAGAUAAAGCUCAUGAAUACCACAGUCAUUUACAUCAAAAAAGACUGUUUCAGUCACUGAAAUUCUCUAGGCUCAAUAUCUGACAUGCAAAAUGAAGAUGUUUUUACCAUCAGAACCCAUGUUGUGGUCUUCUAAACAUGAGCUAUGAAAUUUUGUUUUCAGUGUCCUUAAGAACUGCAAAUGGAAUGGAGAAAUUAAUUUCUAUACAGCACAUUUCCUGAUCAAAUAAUACUUUUAUUCAUAUAUUUAUUCAUAUAUUUAUUCUUAAAAUUGUUUUAAAAAAAUAUUUGCCAAAAUUCAGUAACACCUAAAUACAGGAUUUCCUUUGAGAAAUUUAGUAAUGAUUUGUGGAAUCACAGAAUCACGUAAUGGCUGAGGAUGGAAGGGACCUUUGGAGGUUAUCUGAUCCACACACCCUGCUCAAGCAAUGCCACUUAGAACUUGUUGCCCAUGACCAUGUCUGACAGCCUCUCAAAGGAGCCUCUCCCAAAGGAGAGAGACUAUACCAUCUGUCUGGGCAACCUGUGUCAGUGCUCAGCGACCAUCACAGUAAAAAACCCUCCUGUGUUUCAGUUUGUGCCCAUUGCCUCUUGUCCUGUUACUGGGCAUCAUUGAAAAGGAUCUGGCUCUAUUCUCUUUGCACCGUUCCUUCAGGUAUUAAUACACAUUGAUGAGACCCCCCGAGACAUCUCUUUUCUAGUCUGAACAGUCCUGGAUCCCUCAGCUUUUCCUCAUAGAAGAGAUGCUCCACACUCCAUCAUUUUUGUGGCACUGUGUGAGAUACUGGCCAGCCCAGAACUGGGCCCAGUACUCCUGGGUGUGGCCUCACCAGUGCUGAAUAGAGGGGAAUGCCUAACUAUAUGCAUCCUGAGCUUGUAGACUUCUUGGUUUGUCGUGGAGAUUGUAAGCAAUGAUGAGGAGUUUCAUCUGAUUCUCCAGAGGUCAAUGGCUACUCAAACGUUACCUUAUUUUCCAGUUCCAUGUGAAUGCUUUAUUUCAAAUUACAGUAGGUACCAAAAUGUUGGCAAAUGAAUCAUGUCUCAAAUAUGCUUCCCCCCUCCCCAAACUGCUUUUGUUUAUUUUCUAUUGUCAUAUAGGCAUAUCAUCGAUUAGUGAAAAAGAAAUGUUUAUUAUCAUAUAAAAAUUUCUGCAACAAAUUCAAAAGUAUAUGUAAAGCUCUAGGUCAUAUUGUGUAAAGACCUUCAGAAAUUCACUAAAAAGGCACAACUUCCUUUCACAGAUGAAAUAAUAUUAAGAUUAUUGAUAUUAAAUUUUAAGUGCUGAAAAUAAUAUAUACAGAAGUAUUUAAAAUAGAUAUUAAGUAGAUGUUAAACCUAAUAUUUAAAAAUAUUAAAUUGUCUAUUUAGAGAAAAAGCAGUAUGUGAAAUGGGAUUUAAUUAUAGUAGAAAACAAACUUAAUGACUGAUAUGUAUGCUCUUAAAUUACCAAAACGUGCAAUGCUAUUUCAUUAAAGUUCCUGUGAAUUGUAAAUG